UCCUUCCUUCCGGUAGCCGAACCCAUCCAAUAUUACUAUCGAACGAUGGCGACCGCCGCUGGUAUCGACUCACCACCCACGCCACUACCACAGGCCAAGAAGUGUGCGUGCGCGCGCUCCGACGGCGAUAACGUUAUUUAUUCAUGUCUAAUAGAAAAGGGAGCGUUAAUUAUAGCGCGACGUGUGCGCCGUUUCCAUGGUAACGGCGAUUCACUUCGCUGUACGGUGAUUAUGCCACAAAAGCGUAUGCUUGAAGUUGAAAUACAAUAAAGCAGGAUAUCACGGCGUAGCAUUGCGGCUGCCGUCGGGCAAGAAGCUCGCAUUCGCCGCGGGAUACGUCACUAACUAUGGCAUUAUUGUCUUCCAUCCUUUCCAGGUGUAGUGUGCUGCCAGGCUGCUCAGUGCGCCAGACAGGAUCAUACAGGCUUUGGUUGGCGUGUGGAUUUCCUGACAGUCUGGUGCAUUUCCGUAACACUGCAGACACCAACGGUGCUCGGGGUUACGACCAGCGUCUGCCGCCGACGCAAGGAAGCUGCUGAUUGAUACCGCCAAGCAACCAGAUCGCUAUCGGAAGCUGUCGCGCCAAAGAGGAAGAAUGAGACGUACUGGCCUAUGCGGGUAUACGGCGGAACAGAAAUAAAUCGUCGCGCCUGGCGCAGGUAUAGACGCAUAUAUCGCGGCCUCCUUGGGGAAGCUUCAUCGUGCAAAGACAAAGGCACACGCGCAGUGCACGGACAGCCUCUCCGCCGGCCGCAAGACCGUUGUAUAUGGCGUGCGGGCAUAUUGGCGGCGAUGCUUUGGCUACGCUGUCCAGGUGGUGGUGCUGCAUAUGCGUUUGUGCCAUUCGUGUAGCUUUGCCUCCGCUGUGGCGCGCUCCUUUAUUUGUUCGCGCUGCCACCGUUUACAUGGAACAAAAUAUCCGCUGAGCUCAUGACGUUGUUUCCCGUUGCAUUGUUAGAGAGGGAAUACUAUUGCAAUCAAACUAGCCGCACAAAGAAAGAAAGAAAGAAAGAAAGAAAGAAAGAAAGAAAGAAAGA